ACCUCUGCAAUAGGCGAAAGCUUGACAGGGUUACUCUGAGUGAUUUCCGUUAAGGAAAUCUUUUGGCACCUCUAAAAAUGGUGCGGAAUAAGGGGUGGGCAAGUCUGGUGUCAGCCGCCGCGGUAAUACCAGCACCCCGAGUGGUCGGGACGUUUAUUGGGCCUAAAGCAUCCGUAGCCGGUUCUACGAGUCUUCCGUUAAAUCCAACUGCUUAACAGGUGGGCUGCGGAAGAUACUAUAGAGCUAGGAGGCGGGAGAGGCAAGCGGUACUCGAUGGGUAGGGGUAAAAUCCGUUGAUCCAUUGAAGACCACCAGUGGCGAAGGCGGCUUGCCAGAACGCGCUCGACGGUGAGGGAUGAAAGCUGGGGGAGCAAACCGGAUUAGAUACCCGGGUAGUCCCAGCUGUAAACGAUGCAGACUCGGUGAUGAGUUGGCUAUAUGCCAACUCAGUGCCGCAGGGAAGCCGUUAAGUUUGCCGCCUGGGGAGUACGGUCGCAAGACUGAAACUUAA
rnacentral:rRNA from 1 species